rnacentral:tRNA from 1 species
GCGGGCGUAACUCAGCGGUAGAGUGUCACCUUGCCAAGGUGAACGUCGACGGUUCAAAUCCGUUCGCCCGCUCCA